rnacentral:rRNA from 1 species
AUGCAAGUCGAGGGGCAGCAUUUCGCUAGCAAUAGUGAAGAUGGCGACCGGCGCACGGGUGAGUAACACGUAUCCAACCUGCCGAUAACUCGGGGAUAGCCUUUCGAAAGAAAGAUUAAUACCGGAUAGUAUAACGAGAAGGCAUCUUCUUGUUAUUAAAGAAUUUCGGUUAUCGAUGGGGAUGCGUUCCAUUAGUUUGUUGGCGGGGUAACGGCCCACCAAGACUACGAUGGAUAGGGGUUCUGAGAGGAAGGUCCCCACAUUGGAACUGAGACACGGACCAAACUCC